CUCAAGUAUAAAAGACCCACACAAACAACAAACAGAAACUGGAGAGCAAGAGAGGAGACUUGAAUUCUUGAAGCCAUGUUUCUUCUGGUUCUAUUCUCAGGGUUUUUUACCUUCACCUUGAGUUUUGAUCGUCAGUAUGUUUUUGUGAAUGAAUCCAAGACUUGGGCAGAAGCUCAGAGAUACUGUAGGGAGAAAUACACCGAUCUGGC